CAGAAUUUAUGCGUUAGGUUUAAGCUCUAAAGAUGAAAUUUUGUAAUUUCUUUUAAUA
rnacentral:tRNA from 1 species